rnacentral:rRNA from 1 species
CACGCCGUAAACGAUGGAUACUAGCUGUUCGGUGCAAACUGAGUGGCUAAGCGAAAGUGAUAAGUAUCCCACCUGGGGAGUACGUUCGCAAGAAUGAAACUCAAAGGAAUUGACGGGGGCCCGCACAAGCGGUGGAGCAUGUGGUUUAAUUCGAUGAUACGCGAGGAACCUUACCAAGGCUUAAAUGUAGAUUGACAGGACUGGAAACAGUUUUUUCUUCGGACAAUUUACAAGGUGC